UGUUUUAUACCAUUUUUAAUAUAAGAUAUAUGUUUUAAACACUAAAAUGAGAGAAUAUUUAAACUUUUAAAAUCUAAAAUUAUAAAAUAUAAUGUAUUGAUAUCAUAAUAUGUUGUUUUAGAAAAUUGAACAUGAAAAAAAGAAAUAAAGAAAAUGACAGUUUAUAUAGACAAAGAUGGGUUAAAGUUAUGAAAAUAAAACAAAAUGUGAAAAUGACGUAGAACUACUUUA
rnacentral:lncRNA from 1 species